AGCUUCAGAGGAAACUGCACCUUCUCCAGGAGCACUGCUCCAGCUGAACCACAUCUGCCCCUGCAGGAGGAUGCAGCCACCAUUGAAUGGGACUGUGCCAACACCCUGACUGACUGACGGGUGUCAGCUUGGAUUCUGACUCUGGCAGGGUUUGGGAUUGUUCUGUCAAUCAGCUGGAGGUGAGGCAGGCGCUGAAUUAGCUCGACGUGGUGCUCUCGCCUCCACCCAGGCCCCCUCCCCAGCUGGCAGGCGGUGCCCUGGCUGUGCCCCCAGCCCAGAGCAUCCCACCAGGGGCACCCGGGAGCUGCUCCCGCCUGGAUCCACGGAGGACAGAAUAUAUAUUGGGAUAAUUCAUCAACUCGGACUGGCACUGGCCAGGAGAGAGAAAGAAGAGAAAAAGAAACUCAAUAAAAAGAAGUCAAGGCAGAAAAGGCCCUUGGCACUAAACGCUGUCUCCCUGCAGGAUGCCCCUGCUCUGAGCCGUGUCUGGCAGGGACUCCUCGGCUGCUCCACUGGAAUCUGGACUGCAGCCACAGGGAUGGUGGGCCAUGAUCACCACAGUGGGCUGGAGUGAGCUCGGCCCCAGCCACGCUACAGCUGUGGAGGGGAGAGAAAUGUGAGUGAAAAACACUGCUUUGGGCCAGGGAGAGAACCUGAGCAGCCCCAACUCACCCAACUGCUGCCAAACCCUGCCCUGGGCUCCCAGCACAUCCCUCCUGAGCAGGAGUGGGGCACAAACACCACAACACUGAGGGAUGAAGGCUGGCACAUCCCAAACCAGCACACCCAGCGACUGUGGGAAGAUGCAGAAGGGGUUUGUAAAGUGAUUUGUCAACUGACAAGCAGAAAUAUAUUACCAAUUUAGG